UACGUAGGUCCCGAGCGUUGUCCGGAUUUAUUGGGCGUAAAGCGAGCGCAGGUGGUUUAUUAAGUCUGGUGUAAAAGGCAGUGGCUCAACCAUUGUAUGCAUUGGAAACUGGUAGACUUGAGUGCAGGAGAGGAGAGUGGAAUUCCAUGUGUAGCGGUGAAAUGCGUUGAUAUGUGGAGGAACACCGGUGGCGAAAGCGGCUCUCUGGCCUGUAACUGACACUGAGGCUCGAAAGCGUGGGGAGCAAACAGG
rnacentral:rRNA from 1 species